rnacentral:rRNA from 1 species
UAUAACGAGAGUUUGAUCCUGGCUCAGAAUCAACGCUGGCGGCGUGCCUCAGACAUGCAAGUCGAACGAGAAAGUUUUCUUCGGAAAGCCAGUAAAGUGGCGUACGGGAGAGUAACACGUAAGUAAUCUACCUUUGGGUGGGGAAUAACUUAGGGAAACUUAAGCUAAUACCGCAUAAUGCAGCGGCUCCAUAAGGAGACAGUUGUUAAAGGAUUUAUUCGCCUAAAGAGGAGCUUGCGGCAGAUUAGCUAGUUGGUA